GUGCUCACUUUGGCAGCACAUAUACUAAAAUUGGAACAACACAGAGAAGAUUAGCAUGGCCCUUGUACAGGGAUGAUAUACAAAUUCAUGAAGUAUUCCAUACUUUU
ensembl:snRNA U6 U6 spliceosomal RNA